UGGUUGCGCUGUGAAGAAGAAGAAGGAGGAGGAGGAGGAGUCAGUGCUGUGAGGAACUGCCCAUGAGAAAUCACCCAGAAGUAUGAAACUGAUGUUCUUCUGCUCCUGGCAGAGUUACUGGGGAAAGUCUUGUGUGUAUCAUUAAAGAGCAUGGAACCAUUUCUGAUGUUCUCCCAUCCCAAGAACCCAAAGGUGUAUUGGAAGAAGCUCCCUCUCCACUGGCCACUGAUCCUCAGAGGAAGCAUGGGCACAAACAGCAAGUCCACUAAGGAAGAGACCAGGAAAUAAAUGAAACUAAGGAUUGAUCAAUCUUUGAUUGAGCUGGAGUACAAUUAUUCAUUCCUCUGACAGGAUCUCUCCUGUGCAUUUACAGGACUGUGUUUUAG